rnacentral:rRNA from 1 species
GAUGAACGCUGGCGGCGUGCUUAACACAUGCAAGUCGAACGGUGAACACGGAGCUUGCUCUGUGGGAUCAGUGGCGAACGGGUGAGUAACACGUGAGCAACCUGCCCCUGACUCUGGGAUAAGCGCUGGAAACGGCGUCUAAUACUGGAUACGAGUAGCGGCCGCAUGGUCAGUUACUGGAAAGAUUUUUUGGUUUGGGAUGGGCUCGCGGCCUAUCAGCUUGUUGGUGAGGUAAUGGCGCACCAAGGCGUCGAAGGGUAGCCGGCCUGAGAGGGUGACCGGCCACACUGGGACUGAGACACGGCCCAGACUCCUACGGGAGGCAGCAGUGGGGAAUAUUGCACAAUGGGCGGAAGCCUGAUGCAGCAACGCCGCGUGAGGGAUGACGGCCUUCGGGUUGUAAACCUCUUUUAGCAGGGAAGAAGCGAAAGUGACGGUACCUGCAGAAAAAGCGCCGGCUAACUACGUGCCAGCAGCCGCCGUAACAC